rnacentral:lncRNA from 1 species
CUGCUCAUUCUCGUCCUGCGGUAACCCAUCCUCGCCCUUCAAAACCCCCUUCUUCUAUAAUGCUUUCGUCGCUAGCUUCAUUUGCUUGCAGAACUUUUAGUGCUGAGAAGUCGGGCAUUUCUUGUGAAAUUUUGGGAGUUUGGUCGCUAACUUGUCCUUUCAGAGAUUGGAUGGAAGUCAUGAGUUUAUGAGGUCUUGGUUCUUGUCAUUGAGCCCUCUCGGGGCAGAUGAAUUGAGGGCUUGUUUUUUAUUGAUACGGAUUUAUGAUGACUUAA